rnacentral:lncRNA from 1 species
AAGGAGGGUGUGAUGGUUUGCAUAUGCUUGGCCCAGGGAGUGGCACUAUUAGAAGGUGUGGCCUUGUUGGAGGAAGUGUGUCACUGUGGGGUGGUCUUGGAGACCUUCCUCCUAGCUGCCUGGGGAUGCUCAAUCUGUUCCUGGCUUCCUUUGGGUGAAGAUGUAAAACUCUCAGCUCCUCCUGUACCAUGUCUGUCUGGAUGCAGCCAUGUUCCUGCCUAGAUGAUAAUGGACUGAACCUCUGAACCUGUAAACCAGCACCAAUUAAAUGUCCUUUAUAAAACUUACAUUGGUCAUGGUGUCUGUUCACAGCAAUAAAACCGUAACAACGAGACAGUGACCUGAGAAUGGUUGCAUCCAUUAGCACUCCCAUGGAUUGGGUUUCAGGAGCCGUGCCUGCUCCCUGUUGUGGGAUAUUUGAU